rnacentral:rRNA from 1 species
CGGUCGCGAGUAAAGCGGCGAACGGGUGAGUACAACGUGGAUAAUCUACCCUAGGGUCCGGGACAACCCCGAGAAAUCGGGGCUAAUACCGGAUAAGACCACAGUAUCCAAGGAUACAGCGGUAAAAGAUUUAUCGCCUUUGGAUGAGUCCACGCCCCAUCAGGUAGUUGGUAAGGUAAAGGCUUACCAAGCCUAAGACGGGUAGCCGGCCUUAGCGGGUGAACGGCCACAUGGGGACUGAGACACGGCCCUGACUCCUACGGGAGGCAGCAGUGGGGAAUAUUGGGCAAUGGGCGAAAGCCUGACCCAGCGAUGCCGCGUGAGGGAUGAAGGCCUUCGGGUUGUAAACCUCUGUCAGGAGGGACGAUGGGACUAUGUCUUGACGGUACCUCCAGAGGAAGCCCCGGCUAACUCCGUGCCAGCAGCCGCGGUAAUACGGAGGGGGCAAGCGUUGCUCGGAAUUACUGGGCGUAAAGGGUCCGCAGGCUGUCAGGCAAGUUGGUUGUGAAAUCCCAAGGCUUAACCUUGGAAUUGCAUCCAAAACUGCCUGACUAGAGUCCAAGAGAGGUUGGCGGAAUUCCCGGUGUAGCGGUGAAAUGCAUAGAUAUCGGGAGGAACACCAGAGGCGAAGGCGGCCAACUGGCUUGGUACUGACGCUCAGGGACGAAAGCGUGGGUAGCAAACCGGAUUAGAUACCCGGGUAGUCCACGCCCUAAACGAUGGAUGCUAGGUAGGGGGAAUUUAUUUCUCCCUGCCGUAGUUAACGCAUUAAGCAUCCCGCCUGGGGAGUACGGUCGCAAGGCUGAAACUCAAAGGAAUUGGCGGGGGCCCGCACAAGCGGUGGAGCACGUGGUUUAAUUCGAUGCUAAGCGAAAAACCUUACCAAGGCUUGACAUGUUAACUUAAGCCUAUACGAAGGUAAUGUGGGUGGGUUCCGGGCUUGCCCGGAAC